rnacentral:lncRNA from 1 species
AGUAGUGGUAGUCUCUUGGAAGCCGAGAGUGACAAUUGUCUUUGUGCAUUAUCAUCUAUUGAUGUACCCUCAUGUGGCUUUGGAGUCCAAAGGCUGAGGCGCACAGUUUGUGGCACAUGGGGCCUGGGAUGCCAGUUGUUAUGGGAGGUGCCUUUGUGGCCUGGUGUCGGUGUUCACGCGCAGCAGCAAGACGUCGACGUCGCUCAUCUUCAAAGGUGGCGGUGGCCUGGUGAAUGUGGGUUCGACAGCUGCUUCUGUCAGAGGCAGCGAGUUCUAGUUGCUUUGGUGUCAUGCCAGCCCACUUCAAGUUGGACUUUAGCUGAUCCUUGAAUCUCUUCUUUGGUCGGCCUUGUUUCCUGAGUCCAGCUGACAGCUCACCAUAGAAUACCUGUCUUGGUAUUCGCUGUGGGUCCAUGCGGAUGACGUGUCCAGACCAUCGUAGAUGGGUUCUGAGGACCAGGACUUCGAUGCUGGUGGAGUUGGCUCUGUCGAGGACUUCCUGGUUGGUGAUUCGGUCCUGCCAUCGGAUCCUCAUGAUUGACCGGAGGGAGCGUUGGUGGAAUUGCUCCAGCUGUUUCAUGUGCUUCCGGUACAGUGUCCAUGUCUCACAGCCAUACAGGAGCAAGCUGAGGACCACUGCGUUAUACACUUUGAGCUUCGUGGCAGUGCUUACACCUCUGUGUUGGAGGACUUUGCAGCGCAGCCGCCCGAGUGCCUGGCUGGCCUUUUGGAUCCUGGUAUUAAUCUCAUGGUCUAGGGACCCGUCGUUGGCGAUGGUGCUGCCCAGGGUUUGGAGACAAGAUAGAAGCUUAGAGGCAGUGAAAGCUAAAACUGUUAUGAAAAUCCUUCCAAAGCAACCUUGAAAGAAGUACCUCAAAAUGACAUGGGUCAAACACCAAGAAAGAGUGAGGGGGUUCUCCUGUGGGAAACAACUCGAAAGGUAGGCAUAGUCAAUUUUCAUAGGAUAAGUCGGGAACUGGAAGUUAAAAUGAACAAAGAGGGGUGCUGGGCAACCACACACCACCUAUUGAACUAAGUUCUUAGCCUGGGAAUAGGUCAAUUUCAGAAUCCUGAGACCCUGUAUACACCAACUCAGAGCCUCCCACACCCACACCUUGAAGUCCCAAGCUCUGUCACCAAACUGAAAUGAGGCACCAAAGUCCGUAACUCUUGGCCUUUUCAAGCAUGUGCUGAAUUGAAACCUGUAGCCCCAGGGUAAAAUAGCUUACAAUGCUGAGUCCUGCAAGCCAUUAGCAGAGGAGAUAGAAUCAUCAGCUUUCAGAACUGCCAGUCCACAGGUGAAAAAAAAAAGGCUGGGAAAAGGAGGAAACAACAAAAGAAACACCCAAUCAUAGAAAAUGUCUAUUGAGACAAAGAAUAAAGCAUGGAGUCAAAUAAGGAACA